rnacentral:rRNA from 1 species
UACGAAGGGUGCAAACGUUGCUCGGAAUCAUUGGGCGUAAAGCGCACGUAGGCGGCUUGGCAAGUCGGAUGUGAAAUCCCUCGGCUCAACCAAGGAAGUGCAUCCGAAACUGCCGAGCUUGAGUACUUAAGAGGAUCGCGGAAUUCCCGGUGUAGAGGUGAAAUUCGUAGAUAUCGGGAGGAACACCAGUGGCGAAGGCGGCGAUCUGGGCAGAUACUGACGCUGAGGUGCGAAAGCGUGGGGAGCAAACAGG